AGAGUUUGAUCCGGCUCAGGAUGAACGCUAGCGAUAGGCCUAACACAUGCAAGUCGAGGGGCAGCAUAGAGUAGCAAUACUUUGAUGGCGACCGGCGCACGGGUGAGUAACACGUAUGCAACCUACCUACAUCAGGGGAAUAACCCGGAGAAAUUCGGACUAAUACCGCAUAAUACAGGGAUGCCGCAUGGUAAUAUUUGUUAAAGAUUUAUCGGAUGUAGAUGGGCAUGCGUUCCAUUAGCUAGUUGGUAAGGUAACGGCUUACCAAGGCAACGAUGGAUAGGGGAACUGAGAGGUUUGUCCCCCACACUGGAACUGAGACACGGACCAGACUCCUACGGGAGGCAGCAGUGAGGAAUAUUGGUCAAUGGACGAGAGUCUGAACCAGCCAAAUCGCGUGAAGGAAGACUGCCCUACGGGUUGUAAACUUCUUUUGUACAGGAAUAAAAGACAUUACGUGUAAUGUAUUGCAUGUACUGUACGAAUAAGCAUCGGCUAACUCCGUGCCAGCAGCCGCGGUAAUACGGAGGAUGCGAGCGUUAUCCGGAUUUAUUGGGUUUAAAGGGUGCGCAGGCGGGAUUUUAAGUCAGCGGUGAAAUUUUCAGGCUCAACCUGAACACUGCCGUUGAAACUGGGAUUCUUGAGUAUGGAUGAAGUAGGCGGAAUUCGUUGUGUAGCGGUGACAUGCUUAGAUAUAACGAGGAACUCCGAUUGCGUAGGCAGCUUACUAAGCCAUAACUGACGCUCAAGCACGAAAGCGUGGGGAUCAAACAGGAUUAGAUACCCUGGUAGUCG
rnacentral:rRNA from 1 species